AACCGACCCCAACUUCUUCUGAGCGGCAGUGGCGCCAGAAGCAGUCUGGCUUUCAGAAUUCUGGAUUCAUUACCAGCGUCUACCAUAUGCUCUGACAACUAUGACCACAAUGGUCCACCCACAAAUGAAUUGACAACAGCAAACCCAGAGGCACGUAUCAAUGAAAGUCUACCCACGAAUGAAUUGACAACAGCAAACCCAGAGGCACGUAUCAAUGAAAGUCCCCAUCCUGUUGACCUGGUGGAAGUCAUCAUUGAUAGAGACACCCAUGACAUUCCCCACACAAGUGAACUGACAGGAGGAACCAAGGAGGCACGUAUCUACGAAAAUGUGUCAGAACGACUUUCCAGGUUUGAAGAUUAUGAAAAUGCUGAAUAUGUCGCUUCAUAUGACAGCAGGAUUAAGAAAAUUGUUCAUUCAAUUGUGUCAUCCUUUGCAGUUGGAAUAUUUGGAGUUUUCCUGAUCUUGUUGGAUGUGGCUCUGAUCUUUGCUGACCUAAUUUUCACUGAUAGCAAAGUUUAUAUUCCUUUGGAGUAUCAUUCUAUUUCUCUAGCUAUUGCUUUAUUUUUUCUCAUGGAUGUUCUUCUUCGAGUAUUUGUAGAAGGGAGACAGCAUUAUUUUUCUGAUUUACUUAACAUUUUAGAUACUGCUGUUACUGUGAUUAUUCUGCUGGUUGAUGUCGUUUACAUUUUUUUUGACGUUAAGUUUCUUAAGGAUAUUCCCAGAUGGACACGUUUAUUUCGACUUCUACGACUUAUCAUUCUGAUAAGAGUUUUUCAUCUGGCUCAUCUAAAAAGACAACUUGGAAAGCUGAUAAGAAGGCUGGUUUCAGGAAACAAAAGGUGAUACGAAAGUGAUGGAUUUGACCUAGACCUCACUUAUAUUACAGAACAUAUUGUCGCUAUGUCGUUUCCAUCUUCGGGAGGCCAGUCUUUCUAUCGGAAUCCAAUUAAGGAAGUCAUACAGUUUCUAGACAAAGAAACAUCCAAACCACUAUCGAGUCUACAAUCUAUGCAGUGAAAGAGCUUAUGAUCCUAAGCACUUCCAUAAUAGGGUCAGUAGAAUCAUGAUCGAUGAUCAUAAUGUCCCCACUCUACGGGAGAUGGUAGCAUUCUCCAAGGAAGUGUUGGAGUGGAUGGCUCAAGAUUCUGAAAACAUCGUAGUGAUUCACUGUAAAGGAGGCAAAGGAAGAACCGGAACUAUGGUUUGUGCCUGCCUGAUUGCCAGUGAAAUAUUUUUAACUGCAGAGGAAAGAUUGUACUAUUUUGGAGAACGGCGAACAGAUAAAACCAAUGGCACUAAAUAUCAGGGAGUAGAAACUCCUUCUCAGAAUAGAUAUGUUGGAUAUUUUGCACAAGUGAAACAUAGCUACAACUGGAAUCUCCCUCCAAGAAAAACACUGUUUAUAAAAAGAUUCGUUAUUUAUUCGAUUCAUGGUGUUGGAACAGGCGAUGGAUAUGAUCUAAAAGUCCAAAUAGUAAUGAAGAAAAAGAUUGUCUUUUCCUGUACUUCCUUAAAGAAUUGUCGGGUAUUUCAUGACACUGAAACAGACAGGGUAAUAACUGAUGUGUUCAACUGUCCACCUCUGUAUGAUGAUGUGAAAGUGCAAGCUUCCUCUUCAGAUUUUCCUAAAUACUAUCACAACUACCCUUUUUUCUUCUGGUUUAACACAUCUUUAAUACAAAAUAACGGGCUUUAUCUACAAAGAAAUGAAUUGGAUAAUCUUCAUAAACAAAAAACAUGGAAAAUUUAUCAACCAGAAUAUGCAGUAGAGAUAUAUUUUAAUGAGAAAUGACUUAAGUUAUGUUGUAACUGGUAGCUGAUUAAGUAUAGUUCCCUGCACCCCUUCUGGGAAAGAAUUAUGUUCUUUCUAACCCUGCCACAUAGUUAUAUGUUCUAAAUCUUCCUUGCUGGUACAUCUAUAUUGAUAUAUGUAUACACAUGUUCUUUAUAAAUCUAUUAAAUAUAUACAGAUAAAAUGUCAGGUUUUUUUUCUUUUUGAAGGCAUAUAUUUCACAGUUUCCAUCUUGUAUUUACAUACAUUUGGAACACAGUACUUAGGAACAUUAGGCGUCAUUUUGAAGAACUUUGAAAUAGAACUUUCGUAUCAAAAUAAUUGAGAGAUAAUUAAAAAUUGUGAUCCCCCAACACCCACUUACUUAUACAUUUUUGGUCAGGUAUUUAUUCCCUGCUUUUUUUCACAUUUGUAAUUUCAGGUUUAUUAGAAAGCUAAUUUAUAUUUUUCCUUCUACUCGAUUUACAAACUGUUAACAGAUUGGCAGCAAAGACUAAGUUUUAAACCCAGAAGAGAGAAAUAUUUCACACAAGCAGUCCCCCAACUCCCAACACACACUUUUCUCUUGUUCCAAGCACUAAAUGGGUAGCUUACUUAACAAGCUUCCUUUAAUUACACACAGACAUGGGGGUUGGGGUAAGAAGGGCGUAGUAAAUAUGAAGGAGAAGUAACCUUCAGUAACUUCUGCUUUUGUAUAAAAUUGUAAGUGAAGUCAAAAGAAAUAUUUGUUCUUAGAGUAAUUUAGGUGUAUUAUUUUGAAAUCCACUACUCCUGCUCACAACCAAUGUCACCUAAGC